GGGCGGGGGGGUGCCUAUACAUGCAAGUCGAGCGAAUGGAUUAAGAGCUUGCUCUUAUGAAGUUAGCGGCGGACGGGUGAGUAACACGUGGGUAACCUGCCCAUAAGACUGGGAUAACUCCGGGAAACCGGGGCUAAUACCGGAUAACAUUUUGAACUGCAUGGUUCGAAAUUGAAAGGCGGCUUCGGCUGUCACUUAUGGAUGGACCCGCGUCGCAUUAGCUAGUUGGUGAGGUAACGGCUCACCAAGGCAACGAUGCGUAGCCGACCUGAGAGGGUGAUCGGCCACACUGGGACUGAGACACGGCCCAGACUCCUACGGGAGGCAGCAGUAGGGAAUCUUCCGCAAUGGACGAAAGUCUGACGGAGCAACGCCGCGUGAGUGAUGAAGGCUUUCGGGUCGUAAAACUCUGUUGUUAGGGAAGAACAAGUGCUAGUUGAAUAAGCUGGCACCUUGACGGUACCUAACCAGAAAGCCACGGCUAACUACGUGCCAGCAGCCGCGGUAAUACGUAGGUGGCAAGCGUUAUCCGGAAUUAUUGGGCGUAAAGCGCGCGCAGGUGGUUUCUUAAGUCUGAUGUGAAAGCCCACGGCUCAACCGUGGAGGGUCAUUGGAAACUGGGAGACUUGAGUGCAGAAGAGGAAAGUGGAAUUCCAUGUGUAGCGGUGAAAUGCGUAGAGAUAUGGAGGAACACCAGUGGCGAAGGCGACUUUCUGGUCUGUAACUGACACUGAGGCGCGAAAGCGUGGGGAGCAAACAGGAUUAGAUACGUGGGGUAGUCCA
rnacentral:rRNA from 1 species